rnacentral:rRNA from 1 species
GACAGAGGGUGUAAACGUUGUUCGGAUUUACUGGGCGUAAAGCGCGUGUAGGCGGCUUUGCAAGUCGGAUGUGAAAGCCCACGGCUCAACCGUGGAAGUGCAUCCGAAACUGCAUGGCUUGAGUCUCGGAGAGGAAGGUGGAAUGCUUGGUGUAGAGGUGAAAUUCGUAGAUAUCAAGCAGAACACCUGCGGCGAAGGCGGGUUGCUGGGCUGACACUGACGCUGAGACGCGAAAGCGUGGGGAGCAAACAGG